UACGAAGGGGGCUAGCGUUGCUCGGAAUCACUGGGCGUAAAGCGCACGUAGGCGGCUCGUUAAGUCGGGGGUGGAAUCCUGGAGCUCAACUCCAGAACUGCCCUCGAUACUGACGAGCUCGAGUCCGGGAGAGGUGAGUGGAACUGCGAGUGUAGAGGUGAAAUUCGUAGAUAUUCGCAAGAACACCAGUGGCGAAGGCGGCUCACUGGCCCGGUACUGACGCUGAGGUGCGAAAGCGUGGGGAGCAAACAGG
rnacentral:rRNA from 1 species